rnacentral:rRNA from 1 species
UAGGUCUCAGUUCAGAUUGCAGGCUGCAACCCGCCUGCAUGAAGUCGGAAUUGCUAGUAAUCGCGGAUCAGCAUGCCGCGGUGAAUACGUUCCCGGGCCUUGUACACACCGCCCGUCACACCAUGGGAGCCGGUAAUGCCCGAAGUCAGUAGCCUAACCGCAAGGAGGGCGCUGCCGAAGGUAGGAUUGGCGACUGGGGUGAAGUCGUAACAAGGUAUC